GCUAGUACGAGUCUUGAUGACUUUUACCAUGUAUUCAUCCUCCAGACAUUUCGCUGCAUUCUCUGUAAUUUCUACAAUUUUGUGGAAGUGACCACCUUUCAGGUUUCUCAAAUCAUCACAAGAAGGAAAUAUCAUGGAAUUCAUGUUCCCGCAAGCAUCACGGUCGAGUUGUAAUGAAUCUGCACAAGGCUUUUUUU